rnacentral:rRNA from 1 species
AGCGAACGCUGGCGGCAGGCUUAACACAUGCAAGUCGAGCGGGCGUAGCAAUACGUCAGCGGCAGACGGGUGAGUAACACGUGGGAACGUACCUUUUGGUUCGGAACAACUGAGGGAAACUUCAGCUAAUACCGGAUAAGCCCUUACGGGGAAAGAUUUAUCGCCGAAAGAUCGGCCCGCGUCUGAUUAGCUAGUUGGUGAGGUAACGGCUCACCAAGGCGACGAUCGGUAGCUGGUCUGAGAGGAUGAUCAGCCACACUGGGACUGAGACACGGCCCAG